CGAAAAUAUUACACACUCUCUGUCUCUCUCUGGAGUCCAAUCUCUUCUUUUAACAAGAUAACCUUACAAAGAUGGAGACAGAAGAUCCGUUUGCUCCAGUGGCAGCGCUCUGCCACAUCUCUUCCUCUCAAGAAGAACACUUGCGUCGUUGCCGGUUCGCAGGUGAACCGGAGGAUGAACCCUUUUUCAGUGGCGAGUCCAGCGACAUCCCCGUUGCCUCCACUGAAAUCAUGAUUGUUUCUCCACCGGAAUCUCCUGAGGAGAAUCAAGAUGACGAUAAUAUCCCCCGCGAUAACGACGUUUUCAUUACGCCCCCCGAAGAGUCCACUCUGGCAGCAUCCCAGGAGGAGCAACAGCAAACGGUCGCGGUCGAUAAUCGAGACAAUCCGGCGGACGAGGGAGUAGCAAACAAUGAGAAAAUUGCGGCCGUGGAUGGUAAUUGUGCG
rnacentral:misc_RNA from 1 species